GGCUGUUUUCACUUUCCUUUUUUUCCACUGUCUUUGUUGUCUCUCCACGAAGCGAGGGUAAAGGCCGAAACAUCCUAUUUUCUAGCUUCCCCGUUUCGCCGAACAUCGCGGGCCCGCCGCGCCGACGCCAUCCCGAGACGCGGUUGCACACCGGUGCUUGCAGAGGAAGAGCGCUAACGUAUUUUAACGCGAACCACGCGGUUCAUGAGCCAUCCCCCGGACGUAUUUUUUACAUCGUGCGUUUUUGGAACGCGAAGCACACGUGGACGCAAGAGCUUGUUCUCAGAGGUAUCAAAGGGAUGCCGGGAGUCGCACGGCGUGUGCUGCUAAGGGGUAGGACUCGCCAAGCAUCGGAUGCCAAGCGCCCACCGGACAGCUUUGAUCACCGCGCUUCUGAAAACAGCGCUUGCGAUGUGCUUCGGGGACGGCGGAGCAACAAGGUUACACACGCCUGAACAAGAAGAUCAGAUUGACUUCACGAGCCCAAGAGGAACUGCACACCUUCAGCAUUAUAAAGCAAGUGUCAUGUAUUACAUGUUAAAAAUGAUAACCUUUUAAAAACUCAGCAGCUAAAGUGAUCAUUUUUUAAAGUGGGGUGUACUUUUAAAGCUGUAAAUGUAUAGUUCCCCCCUCCCAAAAGAAAAAGUGCUUUGAGUUAAUGUACAUAUUCUGUGCACAAGAAAGUUGUACUUCUAACCCUGCAGGAAAACUGCGCACUAAAACAGCAACUUUUAAUACCUUUAAUCUGUUUUUUCUUUUUUUUUCUUUUUUUUUUUUUUAUAUUGAGAAUCAAGAAGAGAGGCGCUGAAAAAACAAGGUGCCCGUGAAAUAUUGUUCCACUCUUGAUUCAACAGAAAUAUAUUAUAAUUAUAUGAGCCUGGUACAUCAUCAUAUCAUAGGGAGGUUCUUGUAUUUCCGCACAAGGAGUCUCUGGCUGGUAGAAGUCAGAGUGAAUUUCAUUUUCACCACAUUGUAAGCAGAAAAAGGUUAAAAAAAAAAUGUACAAAAUAUCCAUGUAUCACCUUCAAAUAAGAUAAAAUACCUGCAGGAUCUUGUCCCAUAAAGUACUGUAUGAUGUCACACUGCACUGGGAGCUUCAUCAAACUGAAACUGCACAAACUUUAAGUUUUCAAACUUUUCUAAACUUUUGCAUAAAAAAAUCAAAUUUUUUUGCGCCUCAAAUUGUGCCGAUGUCCCCUGAACUGAUGUGUGACCCGGAGCUAAAUUUUAAAUCCACGCAUUUCGCCAAAAAAUACUAAAGAUGAAGGCAGAGAGAGCAACUGGAAGACUCACCUCUCGAAGUCGGAGCAAACAGUGCGCGGCGGUGCGACCUUCGGGGACGCGCCACACGGGGACGCGCCGCACGGGAGCGCGCGCGGCGGAGGGGGUGCGCAGUAGAAAUCGAAACCCAUAAGGACCGGGGUCCCUAAACUGCCAAAGAGCCCCUUUUCCCUU
rnacentral:lncRNA from 1 species